AUUGAACGCUGGCGGCAGGCCUAACACAUGCAAGUCGAGCGAGCGGCGGACGGGUGAGUAAUGUAUGGGGACUGCCCGAUAGAGGGGGCGAACUACUGGAAACGGUAGCUAAUCCCGCAUACAAUCGGAUAACCCAUAUGGGGUUAGCUAGUAGGUGAAGUAAUUGCUCACCUAGGCGACGGUCCCUAGCUGGUCUGAGAGGAUGCUCAGCCACACUGGGACUGAGACACGGCCCAGACUCCUACGGAGGCAGCAGUGGGGAAUAUUGCACAAUGGGCGCAAGCCUGAUGCAGCCAUGCCGCGUGUAUGAAGAAGGCCCUAGGGUUGUAAAGUACUUUAAGUCGGGAGGCGUUACCGACAGAAGAAGCACCGGCUAACUCCGUGCCAGCAGCCGCGGUAAUUC
rnacentral:rRNA from 1 species